AACUAGCAAGUUGCAUGUUUAUUUUUAUAUUUAAUAUUUUUUUUACAGUUUACUGUGUAAUUAUUGAACUUUUUUCUUGGAAUUUUUGUAAUUGUACUCAUAGGAAAUCUUUGAUUAUUCUCAUGUUCCGGGGCAUGCGGUUCUUCAUCGUGGUCGCCAUCGGCAUGGUGCUAGAGCCACAACAUCGGGGUGUCGAGUCAACUUACUACUGUGGUGCAGAAGUUCGGUCUUUAGAGAGCUGAAGAAGUAUCAGAAAGAUUCUUCUAACUGGUGUGGAGAGUGCCAGCGUGAGAAGAAAGAAAGGCAACGUCAAUCAAUUACUGCCACCAAACUGGAAUUGCUCAAGAGAGAUGGAAAACCCACUUCUUGAGAUGUUCUUUGUAAUGGUUUUUUAUCUUUUCUGCCAAUACUCUUCUCGAGCAGUUCAUCAUGUAACUUUUGCUUGUGAAGUUGUAAAUUUACAAAAAUCUCAUCCUUAUUUAUUUCAUUAAUAUAGACUACAAACUACAGUUAGGCUAGUAAUAUGAAGGGAGAUUCACUGUCAUACCCAACGUGGUGUUCUUUACAAUGUUUUAGUGCUUCUGCAAGUUGACUUUGAUGUUAUGCUGUUCCUUUUUUUUUCUUUUUUCUUUUUUGGUAGUUG